rnacentral:rRNA from 1 species
AUUGAACGCUGGCGGCAUGCCUUACACAUGCAAAUCGAACGGUAACGGGCCUUCGGGUGCCGCCGAGUGGCGAACGGGUGAGUAAUACAUCGGAACGUGCCCGAUCGUGGGGGAUAACGAGGCGAAAGCUUUGCUAAUACCGCAUACGAUCUACGGAUGACAGCAGGGGACCGCAAGGCCUUGCGCGGACGGAGCGGCCGAUGGCAGAUUAGGUAGUUGGUGGGAUAAAAGCUUACCAAGCCGACGAUCUGUAGCUGGUCUGAGAGGAUGAUCAGCCACACUGGGACUGAGACACGGCCCAGACUCCUACGGGAGGCAGCAGUGGGGAAUUUUGGACAAUGGGCGCAAGCCUGAUCCAGCCAUGCCGCGUGCAGGAUGAAGGCCUUCGGGUUGUAAACUGAUUUUGUACGGAACGAAAAGCCUUCUUUUAAUACAGGAGGGUCAUGACGGUACCGUAAGAAUAAGCACCGGCUAACUACGUG